GCGAGGUUAGUGGAGUGGGCUGAAUGCUCCAGUGGAGCAUUCAGCGGGAGACUGCGGUGUUUCGGAAAAAUAAAAGUCUCCCAGGAAGUACGAUUGCUUCCCAAGCAAUAAGCACGAGUCCGAUUCUCGUAUCCCGCU
rnacentral:tRNA from 1 species